GUUGAAAAAAGAGGAUGAAGCUUCAUUGAAUCCCGCUCAGUACAACAACAGCGAAUACUACAGCAACAGCUCGGAUGACAUCAACCCUAACGACGACUACUAUAUCAUAGAUUCAGACCGUGAACCAACAGAAUGAAAGCAUAAAUACUAGGUAACCACACCAAAAAAAAAAGCCUUUCUUCUUACAUGUAAACCAAUAAUAUACUUUUGUAGACCAAAUACUCUUAUGAUUAAUUACAGGAAGUAACUGUAUCUGCCAGCAGGCGAACGACGUCUCCAAGCACAUCAAAUAAAGUAGAAAGAACCUCUCUGUUCCAUUAUGAGUAAAUAUAUUAUCAGCCGGCUCUCUUAACUAAAUUUAUUUAAUGCAAAUUAAAAAAUAUUGCCAAACGAAAUCGAUCAAACACUUUACGCGCGCGGUGGUGUGCGCAAGGAGCAAUAUUUAGCAGCUUCAACUGUGCAAGCUUUUCUCUUAUUUUUUUUUCCAAAACACUGUGCAAGUUUUUACCUCCCUCAUCCUUUUUCUACACCCCAAGUAUAAUAUAUGUACAUCUCUAUGUAUAUUAAUAUGUAUGCACUAUCUUUCCUUAUA